GUAACACGUGGGCAACCUGCCUGUAAGACUGGGAUAACUUCGGGAAACCGGAGCUAAUACCGGAUAAUCCUUUCCCUCACAUGAGGGAAAGCUGAAAGACGGUUUCGGCUGUCACUUACAGAUGGGCCCGCGGCGCAUUAGCUAGUUGGUGAGGUAACGGCUCACCAAGGCAACGAUGCGUAGCCGACCUGAGAGGGUGAUCGGCCACACUGGGACUGAGACACGGCCCAGACUCCUACGGGAGGCAGCAGUAGGGAAUCUUCCGCAAUGGACGAAAGUCUGACGGAGCAACGCCGCGUGAGCGAUGAAGGCCUUCGGGUCGUAAAGCUCUGUUGUCAGGGAAGAACAAGUAUCGGAGUAACUGCCGGUACCUUGACGGUACCUGACCAGAAAGCCACGGCUAACUACGUGCCAGCAGCCGCGGUAAUACGUAGGUGGCAAGCGUUGUCCGGAAUUAUUGGGCGUAAAGCGCGCGCAGGCGGUUCCUUAAGUCUGAUGUGAAAGCCCCCGGCUCAACCGGGGAGGGUCAUUGGAAACUGGGGAACUUGAGUGCAGAAGAGGAGAGCGGAAUUUCCACGUGUAGCGGUGAAAUGCGUAGAGAUGUGGAGGAACACCAGUGGCGAAGGCGGCUCUCUGGUCUGUAACUGACGCUGAGGCGCGAAAGCGUGGGGAGCGAACAGGAUUAGAUACCCUGGUAGUCCACGCCGUAAACGAUGAGUGCUAAGUGUUAGAGGGUUUCCGCCCUUUAGUGCUGCAGCAAACGCAUUAAGCACUCCGCCUGGGGAGUACGGCCGCAAGGCUGAAACUCAAAGGAAUUGACGGGGGCCCGCACAAGCGGUGGAGCAUGUGGUUUAAUUCGAAGCAACGCGAAGAACCUUACCAGGUCUUGACAUCCUCUGACAACCCUAGAGAUAGGGCUUUCCCCUUCGGGGGACAGAGUGACAGGUGGUGCAUGGUUGUCGUCAGCUCGUGUCGUGAGAUGUUGGGUUAAGUCCCGCAACGAGCGCAACCCUUGAUCUUAGUUGCCAGCAUUAAGUUGGGCACUCUAAGGUGACUGCCGGUGACAAACCGGAGGAAGGUGGGGAUGACGUCAAAUCAUCAUGCCCCUUAUGACCUGGGCUACACACGUGCUACAAUGGAUGGAACAAAGGGCAGCGAAGCCGCGAGGUGAAGCCAAUCCCAUAAAACCAUUCUCAGUUCGGAUUGCAGGCUGCAACUCGCCUGCAUGAAGCCGGAAUCGCUAGUAAUCGCGGAUCAGCAUGCCGCGGUGAAUACGUUCCCGGGCCUUGUACACACCGCCC
rnacentral:rRNA from 1 species